rnacentral:rRNA from 1 species
UAAAAAGCUCGUAGUUGGAUCUGUGUCUCGGACGGUCGGUUCGCCGCUCGCGGUGUUUGACUGACCGGUCCGGACGUCAUGCCGGUGGAGCCUCGGCGCAAGCCGGGGCUCCGUAAUGAACCCUCCGCGCUGCUCUUAACCGAGUGGUUCGGUGGGCCGGCACGUUUACUUUGAACAAAUUUGAGUGCUCAAAGCAGGCCUUACGUUGCCUGAAAACUGUGUGCAUGGAAUAAUGGAAUAGGACCUUGGUUUUAUUUUGUUGGCUUUCUGAACUUGAGGUAAUGAUUAACAGGGACAGACGGGGGCAUUCGUAUUGCGACGUUAGAGGUGAAAUUCUUGGAUCGUCGCAAGACGGACCGAUGCGAAAGCGUUUGCCAAGAAUGUUUUCGCUAAUCAAGAACGAAAGUUAGAGGUUCGAAGGCGAUUAGAUACCGCCCUAGUUCUAACCAUAAACGAUGUCAGCCAGCGAUGCGCCGAUGUUCCUCCGAUGACACGGCGCGCAACUUCCGGGAAACCAAAGCUUUUGGGUUCCGGGG